rnacentral:rRNA from 1 species
UACGGAGGGUGCAAGCGUUAUCCGGAUUCACUGGGUUUAAAGGGUGCGUAGGUGGCUUUGUAAGUCAGUGGUGAAAUCUCGGAGCUUAACUCCGCAACUGCCAUUGAUACUGCUUAGCUUGAAUCAAGUAGAGGUGGAUGGAAUAUUACAUGUAGCGGUGAAAUGCUUAGAUAUGUAAUAGAACGCCGAUUGCGAAGGCAGUUCACUAUGCUUGUAUUGACACUGAGGCACGAAAGCGUGGGGAUCAAACAGG